rnacentral:sRNA from 1 species
UAUCUCUCUGUACAGGGAAGGAUGAGAAUCUUCGAUUAAGGUUCGACUCGAGCGGAAGCGAGAGAACGUUGCCGCAGGCAACGGCCCGAAGGGCGCGACGCGCCGAGUCAUCCUUCCCCCACCAUAA